rnacentral:rRNA from 1 species
UACAUGGGGUGCAAACGUUGCUCGGAAUUAUUGGGCGUAAAGCGCACGUAGGUGGUCGCUUAAGUCGGAUGUGAAAGCCCUCGGCUCAACUGAGGAAGUGCAUCCGAAACUGAGUGGCUAGAGUAUGGAAGAGGGUCGCGGAAUUCCCGGUGUAGAGGUGAAAUUCGUAGAUAUCGGGAGGAACACCGAUGGCGAAGGCGGCGACCUGGGCCAAUACUGACACUGAGGUGCGAAAGCGUGGGGAGCAAACAGG